ACAACAUCAGCUGCCGUGAUAAUCCUUGAUUGGAACUUGGGAUCUUGCUUGUAUGGUUUUAAGCUUCUGAAAAGUCGAGUCAUCGUACUUUUUGUUGCCGGUACAUCUCGGGUGUUCCUGAUCUGUUUUGGAGUUCAUUACUGGUACUUUGGACAUUGUAUCAGUUAUGCAGUUGUAGCAUCUGUGCUGUUGGGUGCUGCUGUUUUACGGCAUUUAUCAGUUACAGACCCAUUAGCAGCUAGACGAGAUGCCUUGCAGAGCACAGUUAUCCGCCUUAGAGAAGGUUUCC